AACGAACGCUGGCGGCAGGCCUAACACAUGCAAGUCGAGCGCCCUUUCGGGGGAGCGGCGGACGGGUGAGUAACGCGUGGGAAUAUGCCCUUCUCUACGGAAUAGCCUCGGGAAACUGAGAGUAAUACCGUAUACGCCCUGUGGGGGAAAGAUUUAUCGGGGAAGGAUUAGCCCGCGUUGGAUUAGGUAGUUGGUGGGGUAAUGGCCUACCAAGCCGACGAUCCAUAGCUGGUUUGAGAGGAUGAUCAGCCACACUGGGACUGAGACACGGCCCAGACUCCUACGGGAGGGAGCAGUGGGGAAUCUUAGACAAUGGGGGCAACCCUGAUCUAGCCAUGCCGCGUGAGUGAUGAAGGCCUUAGGGUUGUAAAGCUCUUUCAGCUGGGAAGAUAAUGACGGUACCAGCAGAAGAAGCCCCGGCUAACUCCGUG
rnacentral:rRNA from 1 species